GACGAACGCUGGCGGCGUGCCUAAUACAUGCAAGUCGAACGCACUCUCGUUUAGAUUGCCGGAGUUUGCUCCUGAUUGAUAAACAUUUGAGUGAGUGGCGGACGGGUGAGUAACACGUGGGUAACCUGCCCUAAAGUGGGGGAUAACAUUUGGAAACAGAUGCUAAUACCGCCUACAACCUAACACCGCAUGGUGUCGGGUUGAAAGAUGGUUUCGGCUAUCACUUUAGGAUGGACCCGCGGUGCAUUAGUUAGUUGGUGAGGUAAAGGCUCACCAAGACCGUGAUGCAUAGCCGACCUGAGAGGGUAAUCGGCCACACUGGGACUGAGACACGGCCCAGACUCCUACGGGAGGCAGCAGUAGGGAAUCUUCCACAAUGGACGAAAGUCUGAUGGAGCAACGCCGCGUGAGUGAAGAAGGUUUUCGGAUCGUAAAACUCUGUUGUUGGAGAAGAAUGUAUCUGAUAGUAACUGAUCAGAUAGUGACGGUAUCCAACCAGAAAGCCACGGCUAACUACGUG
rnacentral:rRNA from 1 species